AAGAUUUUAAGUUAAUAAAAACUAUUUACCUUCAAAGUAAAAAUUAUUUUAAAUAAAUCUUA
rnacentral:tRNA from 1 species